GUGGAUUAGAUACCCUGGUAGUCCACGCCCUAAACGAUGUCAACUAGUUGUCGGGUCUUAAUUGACUUGGUAACGCAGCUAACGCGUGAAGUUGACCGCCUGGGGAGUACGGUCGCAAGAUUAAAACUCAAAGGAAUUGACGGGGACCCGCACAAGCGGUGGAUGAUGUGGAUUAAUUCGAUGCAACGCGAAAAACCUUACCUACCCUUGACAUGGUCGGAAUCCUGGAGAGAUCUGGGAGUGCUCGAAAGAGAACCGGCGCACAGGUGCUGCACGGCCGUCGCCAACU
rnacentral:rRNA from 1 species